UACGAAGGGGACUAGCGUUGUUCGGAAUUACUGGGCGUAAAGCGCACGUAGGCGGAUUUGUAAGUCAGGGGUGAAAUCCCGGGGCUCAACCUCGGAACUGCCUUUGAUACUGCAAAUCUCGAGUCCGAUAGAGGUGGGUGGAAUUCCUAGUGUAGAGGUGAAAAUUCGUAGAUAUUAGGAAGAACACCGGUGGCGAAGGCGGCCCACUGGAUCGGUACUGACGCUGAGGUGCGAAAGCGUGGGGAGCAAACAG
rnacentral:rRNA from 1 species